rnacentral:lncRNA from 1 species
UGAAUUAAUUCAACAAACAUUUUCUGGAGCACCGACAAUCUGCCCAGUGCACCAGGCUAGGUAUCUGAUACAAAGAUAAUGAAAACAGUCUCUUGGAACCUAAUUGGGGUCCUCAUUUGACCAGGACUUUCUUUCGUCCCCUUUUAAGCUAACCAGUUUUGUCCGGACAAGACAAAAACAACUUGGGCUGCUUUAGAGAAGCCCAGCUCAGUGUAGACAAUAGCUGCCCAGCCUCUGAAAGGGGCUGAUUGGAUUAUGUGGCAAAUGGAGGUGCAAGGAUGACUUGGACGGUGACAAAUGAAGUGGGCGGAGACCUGCUUUGAGUUAAUCCAGGCUAUUAGGAGGGGACCUUUUGUCUUCCAGAGACUGGCAGGAGCUUUUACCAGUGGUUUUUACAUCCUUAAUGUUCAGGACGAAUAAUUUAUGGUCAGUGAAAAUCCAGGCCCCAGUGAGAUUCGAGUGGGCUGUAAAAUCGAGAGUCCUGCUCCCAGUGAGUAAUAGUAGUGAAUGUUUCUGUCACUUUUUGCAACUGUCCAUUCAUUUGAUCCUCACAACUCCCUGUCCUGAGCCAGGGCCGGCCCCUGUCACUCCUAGGGAAACAGAGGCUGUCAAGAGGCUCUACAGGUUAGGCCCCACUGGAUCAUUGAAUCCCUGUUCCCUGAGUUCUAGAGGAAGAAUUGUACCUGUCUCAGUCCCGGCCAUCUCCAGAAAGCCUCCUUCUGCAUUUCUGACUUUGCUCUGCCCGCAGCCUGGAGCCUCCCAGGUCCUUGCUGUCAGCUUUUCUAGCCACUACAGUCUCUGUCUUUCCUUUCACAGCCAAGCUUCUUGAAAGGCCUGUCUACACUUGCUGUCUUCCUUCCUCACCUCCAAUUUCCUCUUCAACCCACUGCUUCCUGACUCGCUCUACUCCGUGGAAGGGCACUCACAAAGGGCUAAUCUAGGGCCUUGUCGAAGGAAGAGGCUGCAGACGUUAAUGAGGUUAGCUGCUGGAUUCCAAUAUUCGUCGCAUAAGGAGCCUUCUUUGUCUGCGAAGGAAAAACACACUGAUUAUCAUAAUGAGUUCCUGAGCUCGCCCUCCUGGGGUGCCCUUGGCCAGCCCCAUGUCUCCUCAGGGUGUCCCAGCACCAGCCUGGCACAGAGUGGGGCUCAGUUAGAGUAUGUGGGAUGUUGGUUUCGCCAGGCACGUGGGCCGCGGCCCAGCUGGGUCGGCUGAAGAACUGCGGAUGGAAGCUGUGGAAGAGGCCCUGAUGGGGCCCACCAUCCCGGACCCGAGUCUUCUUCCUGGAGGGCCUCUCGUCUCCUUCCUGUUUUGGGCGGAAGCCAUCACCUGGAUUCCUACGUGGGAAGGGACCUCGAAUGUGCGACCCCAGCCCCUCUCCAGCUCGAAAUCCCUCCACAGCCACGGGGACGCCCUGCACCUAUUCCCACGGGACAGGCUGGACCCAGAGACUCUGGACCCGGGGCCUCCCCUUGAGUAGAGACCCGCCCUCUGACUGAUGGACGCCGCUGACCUGGGGUCAGACCCGAGGGCUGGACCCCUGCCCACCCCGCAGGAACCCUGAGGCCUAGGGGAGCUGUUGAGCCUUCAGUGUCUGCAUGUGGGAAGUGGGCUCGUUCACCUACCUCACAGGGCUGUUGUGAGGGGCGCUGUGAUGCGGUUCCAAAGCACAGGGCUUGGCGCACCCCACUGUGCUCUCAAUAAAUGUGUUUCCUGUCUUAAC